AGGAAAGUCAUGAGACAUAAUUGACACUGAGCCACACAAGGAACUAUGAAGACAGACAAGAUUUAAGUCUUAAAGGAGGAUAGUGAAGUAGAGAGGGAAUCUAAUGUUCACAAGUGCGCUAAUGAAAGAAAAGGUGUGUCACCAUUUGAAGGAGUUGUCCCACCAUCAACAUCAUCAGCAGCUCUGUGCGAGGUAGUAAGUGGGUCAUGUCGGAGGGUAGAUCUGUGCUACUGAUGAAGUCUCUCUCCUGAGUUCCUCACAUUCAAAAGCUGGAAUGCAAAUAAGAUUGUUGGAAUUAUCCUUCAGGUGACAACAUCUGGG